UGGUUUGCUUUGAAUAGUGUUUGUUUGCAUCAACGGUCAACUAGAUGUGAGUUUUACGUGCUGGGAUUGUCGAAUUUGGUGUGGAGUUGAGUUUUGUGCUGGUGGGAGUGGCGAUGGGGGAGAUGAAGGGGGUUCGGUUGGCGGUUAUGCUGGCCCUUCUGGCGGCUUGUGGUGUCUUUGCUGAGGCAAGCCCUCGCAGGAUUCCGUUGAAGAAGAAGUCCAUCGAUUUGCAGUCGGUGAGGAGCGCCGCGGCGCGCACGCUGCAGAGGGCGAAUGCACUGGCGGGGAGUGCCAAUUCGCUGAGGGGUGGGGAUGCCGUGGAUUUGAACAAUUACAUGGACGCGCAGUAUUUCGGAGAGAUCGGCAUUGGGUCGCCUCCUCAGCCUUUUUCCGUCAUUUUUGACACCGGGAGCUCCAACCUCUGGGUCCCCUCUGCCAAGUGCUACUUGUCGCUUGCGUGCUACUUCCAUCGAAGAUACAAAUCAAGCAAGUCGAGCACCUACAAGGAAGAUGGAACGUCGUUCGCCAUUCAAUAUGGCACUGGGUCCAUGGAAGGUUUCUUGAGCCAAGACGACGUUACUCUUGGUGACCUCACAGUGAAAUGGCAGGUCUUUGCUGAAGCUACGAAGGAGCCUGGUGUCACAUUUGUCUCAGCCAAGUUUGAUGGCAUUCUCGGCCUUGGCUUCAAGGAGAUUUCCGUUGAUCGAGUAACCCCGGUGUGGUACAACAUGUUGGAUCAGGGGCUUGUGAAGGAACCUGUCUUUUCUUUCUGGUUGAACCGAGACAGCGAUGAAUCUGACGGAGGAGAGUUGGUAUUCGGCGGCGUUGAUCCUGACCAUUUCAAGGGGGAACACACAUACACCCCUGUCACACGAAAGGGUUACUGGCAGUUCGAUCUUGGUGAUGUGACCAUUGCUGGGCGCAGCGUUGGAUUCUGUGCACAGGGUUGUUCUGCUAUUGCUGAUUCUGGCACGUCACUGCUUGCGGGGCCAUCUGGAAUUGUGGCUGAAAUCAAUCAAGCUAUUGGUGCAACUGGUAUUGUCAGUCAGCAGUGUAAGAUGGUCGUUCAACAGUACGGCGAGCAGAUUGUCGAGAUGCUCGUGGCGCAGAUGAACCCAGGGAAGGUAUGUGCUUCGCUUGGUUUAUGCCAGCUUGCAGCUGGUGAGCCAGGCAUCGCAAGUGUUUUGGAGAAAGAGGAGGUUCAUUCCCUGCAUGCUGACCCACGGUGCACAGUUUGUGAGAUGGCUUUAGUGUGGGCUCAGAAUCAGCUGAGAAUGAACAGAACCAAGGAGGAGAUAGAUGCUUACUUGAAUCAGCUUUGUGAGCGAUUGCCUAGUCCAAACGGCGAAUCAGCUGUGGAUUGCAAUGCGCUUUCUUAUAUGCCAAACGUCGGCUUUACCAUUGCUGGAAAGUCUUUUGAGCUCACACCAGAGCAGUACAUUCUAAAAAUUGGGGAAGGACCCGAGAAACAGUGCGUCAGUGGUUUCUUGGGACUUGAUGUGCCGCCUCCAGCAGGACCCCUCUGGAUUUUAGGAGAUGUGUUCAUGGGAGUCUAUCACACGGUUUUCGACUUCGGAAACUCUCGUCUCGGAUUUGCGAAGGCAGCCUAAAAGAUGACCCGCCCCACUUAUCAAGUUGCCAUCCCUCUUGUGGAGGAAAUGAUGGUUGCUGUUGAAGUGGUCGUUCUGUGGCAUACUAUGUUCUCAAACACCCUCCCAGCUCGAUCUAUUGUACAUUGGUAUGGUUAAGGUCGUAGUGUUGACUCGAAAGUUGGGCACGCUGAGACAACAGAAUGCCAGCUCAGUUCAUUUGAUGGUGUUGAAGGCCGUGGAAAGUUUGCAUGGUCAUGGCGGCAUCUUUUGUCUUCUGCAACUUUUUUUUUUUUUUUUUUUUUUUUUUUUUAAAUUUU